UACGAAGGGGGCUAGCGUUGCUCGGAAUCAUUGGGCGUAAAGGGUAGGUAGGUGGUCUCAUUUGUCUGAGGUGAAAGCCUUGAGCUUAACUCAAGAAGUGCCUCAGAAACGGUGAGACUGGAGUCCUGGAGAGGGUCGUGGAAUUCCCGGUGUAGCGGUGAAAUGCGUAGAGAUCGGGAGGAACACCUGUGGCGAAGGCGGCCGACUGGGCCGACCCUGACGCUGAGGCGCGAAGGCGUGGGGAGCGAACGGG
rnacentral:rRNA from 1 species